rnacentral:rRNA from 1 species
AGAACUUAGCAGAGAUGCUUUGGUGCCUUCGGGAACUCUGAGACAGGUGCUGCAUGGCUGUCGUCAGCUCGUGUUGUGAAAUGUUGGGUUAAGUCCCGCAACGAGCGCAACCCUUUAUCCUUUGUUGCCAGCGGUCCGGCCGGGAACUCAAAGGAGACUGCCAGUGAUAAACUGGAGGAAGGUGGGGAUGACGUCAAGUCAUCAUGGCCCUUACGAGUAGGGCUACACACGUGCUACAAUGGCGCAUACAAAGAGAAGCGACCUCGCGAGAGCAAGCGGACCUCAUAAAGUGCGUCGUAGUCCGGAUUGGAGUCUGCAACUCGACUCCAUGAAGUCGGAAUCGCUAGUAAUCGUAGAUCAGAAUGCUACGGUGAAUACGUUCCCGGGCCUUGUACACACCGCCCGUCACACCAUGGGAGUGGGUUGCAAAAGAAGUAGGUAGCUUAACCUUCGGGAGGGCGCUUACCACUUUGUGAUUCAUGACUGGGGUGAAGUCGUAACAAGGUAGGCGUAGCGAG